rnacentral:tRNA from 1 species
GGAGAGAUGCGAGAGUGGUUGAAUCGGGCGGCCUCGAAAGCCGUUGUACAGCGUGCUGUACCGAGGGUUCGAAUCCCUCUUUCUCCG